UACAGAGGGGGCAAGCGUUGUUCGGAAUUACUGGGCGUAAAGGGCGCGUAGGCGGAAUGGCAAGUCGGUCGUGAAAUCCUUCGGCUCAACCGAAGAACGUCGAUCGAAACUGCCGUUCUUGAGGAUUGCAGAGGAGACUGGAAUUCCCGGUGUAGCGGUGAAAUGUGUAGAGAUCGGGAGGAACACCGGUGGCGAAGGCGGGUCUCUGGGCAGUAACUGACGCUGAGGAGCGAAAGCGUGGGGAGCGAACAGG
rnacentral:rRNA from 1 species